rnacentral:rRNA from 1 species
AUUGAACGCUGGCGGCAUGCCUUACACAUGCAAGUCGAACGGCAGCGCGGGAGCAACCCUGGCGGCGAGUGGCGAACGGGUGAGUAAUAUAUCGGAACGUGCCCAGUAGUGGGGGAUAGCACGGCGUAAGCCGGAUUAAUACCGCAUACGACCUACGGGUGAAAGGGCGGGAUCGCAAGACCUCUCGCUAUUGUAGCGGCCGAUCUCAGAUCAGGUAAUUGGUGGGGUAAAGGCCCAACAAGCCUGCGAUCUGUAGUUGGUCUGAGAGUACGACCAGCCACACUGGGACUGAGACACGGCCCAGGCGCCGACGGGAGGCAGCAGUGGGGAAGUUUGGACAAUGGGGGCAACCCUGAUCCAGCAAUGCCGCGUGCAGGAAGAAUGCCUUCGGGUUGUAAACUGCUUUUGUCAGGGAAGAAAUCUUCUGGGUUAAUACCUCGGGAGGAUGACGGUACCUGAAGAAUAAGCACCGGCUAACUACGUGCCAGCCGCCGCCGUAA